CAGUCGCCGCGGGAAUACAGAGGGUGCGAGCGUUAAUCGGAUUUACUGGGCGUAAAGCGUGCGUAGGCGGCUUUUUAAGUCGGAUGUGAAAUCCCUGAGCUUAACUUAGGAAUUGCAUUCGAUACUGGGAAGCUAGAGUAUGGGAGAGGAUGGUAGAAUUCCAGGUGUAGCGGUGAAAUGCGUAGAGAUCUGGAGGAAUACCGAUGGCGAAGGCAGCCAUCUGGCCUAAUACUGACGCUGAGGUACGAAAGCAUGGGGAGCAAACAGGAUUAGAGACCCCAGUAGUCCCUGUCUCUUAUAU
rnacentral:rRNA from 1 species